CCUACGGGAGGCAGCAGUGGGGAAUAUUGCGCAAUGGGGGAAACCCUGACGCAGCGACGCCGCGUGGAUGAUGAAGGCCUUUGGGUUGUAAAAUCCUGUUCUGGGGGAAGAAAGCUUAAGGGUCCAAUAAACCUUUAAGUUUGACGGUACCCCAAGAGAAAGCUCCGGCUAAUUAUGUGCCAGCAGCCGCGGUAAUACAUAAGGAGCAAGCGUUAUCCGGAAUUAUUGGGCGUAAAGAGCGUGUAGGCGGCUCUUCAAGUCUUUGGUGAAAUCUCCCGGCUCAACUGGGAGGGUGUCAGAGAAACUGGAGGGCUUGAGGGCAGUAGAGGGGGGUGGAAUUCCCGGUGUAGUGGUGAUAUGCGUAGAUAUCGGGAGGAACACCAGUGGCGAAGGCGGCCCCCUGGGCUGUUCCUGACGCUGAAGCGCGAAAGCGUGGGGAGCAAACAGGAUUAGAUACCCCGGUAGUCC
rnacentral:rRNA from 1 species